rnacentral:misc_RNA from 1 species
GUAGGUGAACCUGCGGAAGGAUCAUUAUCACGUAUCCACGUAUAAACCAUCGCGAACUGUCUCACCCUUUGAGGGAAUAAGUGAGUUUUGUAGUAGGUAGCACAUGAAUUUCUUUCUUGUGAUUUAGAAGUUCGCUACUCUCUGCCUCGGUAAUUUUUAAUUGCCGUACUUGUUUCUUCUUAGGUGUAUUUCUAAAUCACACUUGAUUAACAACUUGAACAACUUCAUUAAAUUAUUGAACUGAUCUGUUUCUUACUUCUGUAACAAGGAGAAGAAAUAAAUUACGAAACAAAGAACAACUCUUAGCAACGGAUAUCUUGGUUCUC